AGAACGAACGCUGGCGGCAUGCCUAACACAUGCAAGUCGAACGCUCUCGGGGCUUCGGUUCCGGGGGAGUGGCGCACGGGUGAGUAGCGCGUGGGAACCUGCCCUGUUGUGGGGGAUAACCGAGGGAAACUUCGGCUAAUACCGCAUGCGCCCCCGGGAGCGAUCCUGUGGGGAAAGAUUUAUCGCAGCAGGAGGGGCCCGCGUCGGAUUAGGUAGUUGGUAGGGUAACGGCCUACCAAGCCUUUGAUCCGUAGCUGGUCUGAGAGGAUGAUCAGCCACACUGGGACUGAGACACGGCCCAGACUCCUACGGGAGGCAGCAGUGGGGAAUAUUGGACAAUGGGCGCAAGCCUGAUCCAGCAAUGCCGCGUGAGUGAUGAAGGCCUUAGGGUUGUAAACCGCUUUUGUCAGGGAAGAAACGCUCCGGGCGAAUACCUCGGAGUAAUGACGGUACCUGAAGAAUAAGCACCGGCUAACUACGUGCCAGCAGCCGCGGU
rnacentral:rRNA from 1 species